GAUGUGAUUAAUGAUGCACAACUUUUUUCCCCGUCUUAUCGACUAUGGAGAAGAACUGAAAAAUAAGCCAAAUGUGUCUGAAACCACAUC